rnacentral:lncRNA from 1 species
AAACAUUGAUAAAUAAUAGAGAAAAUAACAAAACAAAACACACUAAAUAAAAUGUUAGCCCACAAAUAAAAUAGUAUAGCACAUAAUUAAUGUAGAAAAGUUCAACUUACAGGGUCAAAUUCACGGUCAACAAUUGACGUGGCAAGCACACACGUGGAAGCAUCAGGCUCUCCCCAUCUCUCCACUACCUUAGGAGCUUCCUUUUGCUCACUCUUACUUUUAAUAACUACACCCAAAAAAGAUACGUAAGAAAACAAGCACCACUAAUUCUAAGCUAAAAAGGAUCAACUUUAAUACAAACAAAAUAGACAAAAAACUUAAGAUACUAGCGUUAGUCGUAGAAGAAAGUGAUUCAAACCUUAUCGAAAUCAGUUGCUUCCAGAAAUACUUGAAUACAAAAACUGAAAAAAUAAAAUAAAAGAUAAAAACAGAAGAAGAAAGACUAGUAAAAGAGGGAAAAUGUAGGUUAAAGAAAACAAGAAAGAGAAGCUAUGCCGGAAAUCAGUUGCUGCCGGAAAGAAGAAGAACAAUAAGUCUUGCUGCCGGAAAACAGAGUCGGAACAAGAAAAAUAAAAAGAAAGAAGAGAAAUCAGUACCUGAAAGUCGUAGAAAGCUGCGGCUGUGUCUUUCUGAACGGCUACAAUCAACAGCGACAUUGCGAUAGAACAGAGGAGAAAGAGAAAGCGGCCC